rnacentral:rRNA from 1 species
GACGAACGCUGGCGGCGCGCCUAACACAUGCAAGUCGAACGAGCGAGAGAGAGUUUGCUUUCUCGAGCGAGUGGCGAACGGGUGAGUAACGCGUGAGGAACCUGCCUCAAAGAGGGGGACAACAGUUGGAAACGACUGCUAAUACCGCAUGAUGCAUUUGGGCUGCAUGGCUCUGAAUGCCAAAGAUUUAUCGCUCUGAGAUGGACUCGCGUCUGAUUAGCUAGUUGGUGAGGUAACGGCUCACCAAGGCGACGAUCAGUAGCCGGACUGAGAGGUUGAACGGCCACAUUGGGACUGAGAUACGGCCCAG